rnacentral:rRNA from 1 species
CAGGAUGAACGCUGGCGGCGUGCCUAAUACAUGCAAGUCGAGCGAACAGAUAAGGAGCUUGCUCCUUUGACGUUAGCGGCGGACGGGUGAGUAACACGUGGGUAACCUACCUAUAAGACUGGAAUAACUCCGGGAAACCGGGGCUAAUGCCGGAUAACAUUUAGAACCGCAUGGUUCUAAAGUGAAAGAUGGUUUUGCUAUCACUUAUAGAUGGACCCGCGCCGUAUUAGCUAGUUGGUAAGGUAACGGCUUACCAAGGCAACGAUACGUAGCCGACCUGAGAGGGUGAUCGGCCACACUGGAACUGAGACACGGUCCAGACUCCUACGGGAGGCAGCGGUAGGGAAUCUUCCGCGAUGGGCGAAAGCCUGACGGAGCAACGCCGCGUGAGUGAUGAAGGUCUUCGGAUCGUAAAAACUCUGUUAUUAGGGAAGAACAAAUGUGUAAGUAACUAUGCACGUCUUGACGGUACCUAAUCAGAAAAGCCACGGCUAACUACGUGCCAGCAAGCCGCGGUAAUACGUAGGUGGCAAAGCGUUAUCCGGAAUUAUUGGGCGUAAAGCGCGCGUAGGCGGUUUCUUAAGUCUGAUGUGAAAAGCCCACGGCUCAACCGUGGAGGGUCAUUGGAAACUGGGAAACUUGAGUACAGAAGAGGAAAGUGGAAUUCCAUGUGUAGCGGUGAAAUGCGCAGAGAUAUGGAGGAACACCAGUGGCGAAGGCGACUUUCUGGUCUGUAACUGACGCUGAUGUGCGAAAGCGUGGGGAUCAAACAGGAUUAGAUACCCUGGUAGUCCACGCCGUAAACGAUGAGUGCUAAGUGUUAGGGGGUUUCCGCCCCUUAGUGCUGCAGCUAACGCAUUAAGCACUCCGCCUGGGGAGUACGACCGCAAGGUUGAAACUCAAAGGAAUUGACGGGGACCCGCACAAGCGGUGGAGCAUGUGGUUUAAUUCGAAGCAACGCGAAGAACCUUACCAAAUCUUGACAUCCUUUGACAACUCUAGAGAUAGAGCCUUCCCCUUCGGGGGACAAAGUGACAGGUGGUGCAUGGUUGUCGUCAGCUCGUGUCGUGAGAUGUUGGGUUAAGUCCCGCAACGAGCGCAACCCUUAAACUUAGUUGCCAGCAUUUAGUUGGGCACUCUAAGUUGACUGCCGGUGACAAACCGGAGGAAGGUGGGGAUGACGUCAAAUCAUCAUGCCCCCUUAUGAUUUGGGCUACACACGUGCUAC